AUUGAACGCUGGCGGCAGGCUUAACACAUGCAAGUCGAACGAGUGGCGGACGGGUGAGUAAUGCUUGGGCAUCUAGCUUAUGGAGGGGGUUAACUACGGGAAACUGUAGCUAAUACCGCGUACCAUAGGAUUAUCCCAAGUGGGAUUAGGUAGUUGGUGAGGUAAAGGCUCACCAGGCCGACGAUCUCUAGCUGGUCUGAGAGGAUGACCAGCCACACUGGGACGGAGACACGGCCCAGACUCCUACGGGAGGCAGCAGUGGGGAAUAUUGGGCAAUGGGGGCAACCUGACGCAGCCAUGCCGCGUGAAUGAAGAAGGCCUUCGGGUUGUAAAGUUCUUUCGGUAGCGAGGCGUUAACUACAGAAGAAGCAACGGCGAAAGACGUGACAGCAGCCGCGGUAAUAC
rnacentral:rRNA from 1 species